rnacentral:lncRNA from 1 species
GAUGCCACGGACUAGGAAGAGUGCGAGGAGGAGAACAGUGGUCUGCGAGUUCUCCGGUUGUCAAACUGUCGCUGAGGGUUCCCGUCGCCUUAAAGGAGGCUCGAGGGAGAAUUCCUUCAACAACAGGGGUUUAAUAACGGGAACAACCGGUGAGGGCAUUCCGCUUGAGAAUUUUGGAGUAGCUGAACGGGGCGACAUCGAUCGAGGGGGCAG